CAAAUCGUAGUAAUCCCAGAUCCCUCCGAGUCACAAUUGAAUUUAUGAAAUUAUAAUUCUGUUAAUAUAAAAAAAGAAGAUGUGGUAUGAUUGCCAAUGAGACUACUCUCCACAAGAUACCAAAAUGACACUUAAUUUAACAACUAUAGGUCACCGUAUGGCCUUCAACAAUGAACAAAGCCCAUACCGUAUAGUUAGCUAUAAAAGGCCCAAAAUGACAAUGUAAAACAAUUCAAACGAGAAAACUAACGGCCUAUUAUUUAUGUAUGAAAAAUGAAAGAAAAACUAAGAUGAUUCCUGAUAAUUUUGACUCAGUUGAAACUAUUGUCUUGCGUAAAGCCAACUUUUUAUUUUCUGUCUGCAUUGUGACUGUCGACUCCAACAAAAUAAGACAAAAAAGAAAAAACAAC
rnacentral:lncRNA from 1 species